GCAGACACAUUCCAGCCAAUCAGCAGCAGACCCUCCCUCCCAGACCCUCCCACCUCCUGGACAGCAUCCAUUUUACAUUCAUUGUGAAGCUGCAUUCUUAGUGAGCUGUCCAGGAGGUGGGAGGGUCUGGGAGGGAGGGUCUGUUGCUGAUUGGCUGUAAUGUGUCUG